GGCGGCAUAGCCAAGUGGUAAGGCACAGGUCUGCAACACCUUUAUCACCGGUUCAAAUCCGGUUGCCGCCUCCA
rnacentral:tRNA from 60 species